GUUUAUUAUAUUUGCAAGGAUAAUGUACCAUUGCCCACUGUUGAAGUGUACAUAAGUUAAGUAAGUCUCAUACAUCUGAAAAUAUUAGUGAGGCAUUUGAAAUUAUUAUGACUCAAUGGGAAAUUAGUCAACACCAAAUUAUUGCUAUUGUAACUGAUAAUGAUAAAUUCUGAAUUUCACCAACUCAGUGAGCAACGAAUGUCUUCCAAUUUGUGGAUGGAGAAGAUAUCCACGCCAAAACUAUAUUUGAGUUCGUCCAAAAAUAACCACUUAUACAGCGACAUACUGGCUCGUUGAAAUAUACAGAUAAGAUCGUCGCGUAACUGAACAGCUGAUUCGAUAGUGUCUGUGCCUCCUAAAUAGUCGUCCAUGUAAAAAUUAUUUUUUAUUUCAGAACAAGCUGAUGGAUAAUAAUUUUCUUCCUGACUAGCUAAAGUACGUAAACAAGCAGUUGCUAAAAACGACGAAGGACUCAUACCAUAUGUGACUGUUGUUAAUUUAUAAGUUCCUAUGGGCAUUGUUGGAUUUUCUCUCCAUAAUAUUCUUUGGUAAUCACAAUGUUCAGGAACUAAAUUAAUUUGUCGAUACAUUUUUUUUAUAUCUGCAGUUAAAGCAACUCUAUGUUUUCUAAACCGUAUAUUAAAAUAAAAAUCAUAUCGUCUUGUAAGACGGGACCUUUUAAUAGUACGUCAUUCAGUGACUUACCAGAUGACAUUUUACACGACGCAUCGAAUACCACACGAAGUCGUGUUGUUGUACUAUUAUAAUUAUAUACAGGGUGGUGCGGUAAGUAACAUACAUAUUCCCCAACUAUGGGUUUCUUUUCACUAAUUUUCUGCAUAUGACCCAAUAUUUCGUAUUCUUUCAUAAAUUUACUAUAUUCCUCUUUUAACUUUUCGUCUUUUUGCAACUUUCUUUCCAUAUUUAAAAAUCUCUUUUUUGCUAUCUCGUAUGAUUCGCCUAAUUUAUAAUUUUCCCCUACUUUAAAAGGUAUAUAAACCAUAAAUCUACCGACAUCGUCUCGCUUAACCGUAUUUUCGAAAAACUCUUUACAUUUUUUAUCUCCUAACCUUUGAGGCGCGGCUGUUCCUACUUCUUCCAAACACCAAAAUUUAGAUAACAUAUUUUCUAAUUGAUUUUCGUGAUCAAUCACUGCAAAAUAACUAAUAGAAUGAUACGCUUGACUACAGCCUGGAUUAACUACUCCUGCAAUUACCCAACCAAACUGCAAUUGUUGAAAUAUUGGUCCGUCCUCGGACGGCUUAAUUUUACCCGCGUAUAAAACAUCAAAAAAGUGACCUGCUCCGAGUAAUAAGUCAAUUUUUUGCGGUACUGUGAAAGACGGAUCCGCUAAUUAAAUACCUUCCGGAAUAAAACAUUUACUUUUUUUAUUAUUCGACGGAAUAAAUCCUGUUAUCUUAGGAACAACCAAACAUUGUACUUCUAUUUUGAAUAAACUAAUGCGCGAUGUAAUUACUACUGUAACCGCUAAAGUAAUAUUUUUUUUAGUACCUCCUAUGCCAAUGACACUGUGGUGUACUCGCGAUUUACGCAACCUUAAUAAUUGUACCAUAUAUUCACUUAUAAAGU